rnacentral:rRNA from 1 species
ACAGAGGCGGCAAGCGUUGUUCGGGAUUAUUGGGCGUAAAGAGCAUGUAGGCGGCUAUGUAAGUCGGUUGUGAAAGCCUUCCGCUUAACGGAAGAAUGGCGGUCGAAACCGCCGCUCUUGAGGCAGGUAGAGGUGACCGGAACGUGUGGUGGAGCGGUGAAAUGCGUAGAUAUCAGAAGGAACAUCGGCGGCGAAAGCGACUCUCUGGCCCGUAACUGACGCUGAGGUGCGAAAGCUAGGGGAGCAAACGG